rnacentral:miRNA from 1 species
AAAGAGAUGAUCUUAAAAGUUAGACAUUUUAAGAUCGGUCGUCAAUAGCCGAUCUUAAAAGUCCAGCUUUUAAGAUCAGCCACUC